CCUACGGGAGGCAGCAGUAAGGAAUAUUGGACAAUGGAGGCAACUCUGAUCCAGCCAUGCCGCGUGGAGGAUGAAGGCGCUCAGCGUUGUAAACUUCUUUUGGAUGGGAACAAAAACUCCGAUGCGUCGGAGCCUGAGGGUACCAUCAGAAUAAGCACCGGCUAACUCCGUGCCAGCAGCCGCGGUAAUACGGAGGGUGCAAGCGUUAUCCGGAAUCACUGGGUUUAAAGGGUGCGUAGGCGGCUCGAUAAGUCAGUCGUGAAAUUCCCCGGCUUAACCGGAGGGACUGCGAUUGAUACUGUUGAACUUGAAUCAGGUUGAGGUAGGCGGAAUGUGGCAUGUAGCGGUGAAAUGCUUAGAUAUGCCAUAGAACACCGAUUGCGAAGGC
rnacentral:rRNA from 1 species